rnacentral:rRNA from 1 species
AACGCGAAAGCGGGGCAACCCGCAAGUAGAGUGGCGAACGGGUGAGUAAUACAUCGGAACAUUUCCAGUAGCGGGGGAUAACCUGUCGAAAGAUAGGCUAAUACCGCAUACGCCCCACGGGGGAAAGCGGAGGACCGCAAGGCUUCGCACUAUUGGAGUGGCCGAUGUCGGAUUAGCUAGUUGGCGGGGUAAAAGCCCACCAAGGCUACGAUCCGUAGCUGGUCUGAGAGGACGAUCAGCCACACUGGAACUGAGACACGGUCCAGACUCCUACGGGAGGCAGCAGUGGGGAAUUUUGGACAAUGGGCGCAAGCCUGAUCCAGCCAUGCCGCGUGAGUGAAGAAGGCCUUCGGGUUGUAAAGCUCUUUCGGUGGGGACGAAACGGUUCGUGCUAAUACCACGGACUAAUGACGGUACCCGAAGAAGAAGCACCGGCUAACUACGUGCCAGCAGCCGCGGUAAUACGUAGGGUGCAGGCGUUAAUCGGAAUUACUGGGCGUAAAGCGUGCGCAGGCGGUUUGCUAAGACAGGUGUGAAAUCCCCGGGCUUAACCUGGGAACUGCGCUUGUAACUGGCAAGCUAGAGUGUGGCAGAGGGGGGUGGAAUUCCAAGUGUAGCAGUGAAAUGCGUAGAUAUUUGGAGGAACACCAAUGGCGAAGGCAGCCCCCUGGGUUAACACUGACGCUCAUGCACGAAAGCG